GCUGGAGUGGUGGAAUUGGUAUACACGUACGACUCAAAAUCGUAUGGCGCAAGCCUUGAGGGUUCAAGUCCCUCCUCCAGCA
rnacentral:tRNA from 1 species